rnacentral:lncRNA from 1 species
CUCAGGGUUACUGCUGAUUCUUCUCGUUAUGUAUCAUGUCUGCCUCUCUCCAUCUCUGUGCUCAGGAACUGAAUGGUCAAGGCCACUGCUCAUCUGGGCCCUGCAGGGCCAGCCUGGAUCUUGCUACAACUCCAAAGGCCUUGAAGAGGACUUCAUGGGCCCUGUGCGCCAUCACUGAGCUGCCUUGUUGGAUUUGGGUCCCACCGCCUACCAUUUAUUCCUCUGAGCAGCCUACGAGUACCAUCUGCCCUUCUAGAAUGCAUGUUGCGGUUCCGAGGCAUGGGAAGGUGCCACUGGUGGGAGAGCCCAGAGAUUUGGUACUGAAGUGGUUGAUGUGCUGA